GAUGAACGCUAGCGGCAGGCCUAACACAUGCAAGUCGAGGGGUAGCAGGAUUAAGCUUGCUUAAUUGCUGACGACCGGCGCACGGGUGCGUAACGCGUAUGCAACCUACCUUAUACUGGGGUAUAGCCCGGAGAAAUUCGGAUUAAUCCCCCAUAGUACUAAUGAAUCGCAUGGUUUAUUAGUUAAAGCAUUGCGGUAUAAGAUGGGCAUGCGUCCUAUUAGUUAGAUGGUGAGGUAACGGCUCACCAUGGCGACGAUAGGUAGGGGGCCUGAGAGGGUGGUCCCCCACACUGGUACUGAGACACGGACCAGACUCCUACGGGAGGCAGCAGUGAGGAAUAUUGGUCAAUGGGCGCAAGCCUGAACCAGCCAUGCCGCGUGCAGGAAGAAUGCCCUAUGGGUUGUAAACUGCUUUUAUUUGGGAAUAAACCUCUUUACGUGUAGAGAGCUGAAGGUACCAAAUGAAUAAGCACCGGCUAACUCCGUGCCAGCCGCCGCAGUAA
rnacentral:rRNA from 1 species